UACGAAGGGUGCAAACGUUGCUCGGAAUCAUUGGGCGUAAAGCGCACGUAGGCGGCGCAGUAAGUCGGACGUGAAAUCCCUCGGCUCAACCGAGGACGUGCAUCCGAAACUACUGUGCUCGAGUAUGGGAGAGGGAUGCGGAAUUCCAGGUGUAGCGGUGAAAUGCGUAGAUAUCUGGAGGAACACCGGUGGCGAAGGCGGCAUCCUGGACCAAUUCUGACGCUGAGGAGCGAAAGCGUGGGGAGCGAACAGG
rnacentral:rRNA from 1 species